CUAUUGAGAUGUGUUUGUCACCUGUUUGUCAUUAAGUUUCUUAGUGCCUUUGCCAUCUUAGUGAAGGGUCAAAAGGUACUUAGAAGCUUAAUGAGAACAUGUGACAAACGUACUUCGAGGCGGA
rnacentral:pre_miRNA from 1 species